rnacentral:rRNA from 1 species
UACGUAGGGUGCAAGCGUUGUCCGGAAUUAUUGGGCGUAAAGAGCUCGUAGGCGGUCUGUCGCGUCGGCUGUGAAAACCCGAGGCUCAACCUCGGGCCUGCAGUCGAUACGGGCAAACUAGAGUACUGCAGGGGAGACUGGAAUUCCUGGUGUAGCGGUGGAAUGCGCAGAUAUCAGGAGGAACACCGGUGGUGAAGGCGGGUCUCUGGGCAACAACUGACGCUGAGGAGCGAAAGCGUGGGGAGCGAACAGG